UACGUAGGGGGGCAAGCGUUGUCCGGAUUUAUUGGGCGUAAAGAGCGUGUAGGCGGCUUUGCAAGUCCGUUGUGAAAAACUCGAGCUCAACCUCGAGACGCCGGUGGAAACUGCAAAGCUAGAGUCCGGAAGAGGAGAGUGGAAUUCCUGGUGUAGCGGUGAAAUGCGCAGAUAUCAGGAAGAAACACCCCGUGGCGAAGGGCGGGCUCUCUGGG
rnacentral:rRNA from 1 species